rnacentral:rRNA from 1 species
GUUUGAUCCUGGCUCAGAACGAACGUUAGCGGCGCGCCUAACACAUGCAAGUCGAGCGAGAAAGGGCUUCGGCCCCGGUAAAGCGGCGCACGGGUGAGUAACACGUAGGCAAUCUGCCUCGAGGUGGUGGAUAACCCCUCCGAAAGGAGGGCUAAUACAGCAUGAGACCACGUCGUCGAAAGACGAUGCGGCCAAAAGCCGGCCUCUUCAUGAAAGCUGGCGCCACGAGAUGAGCCUGCGGCCCAUCAGCUAGUUGGUAGGGUAACGGCCUACCAAGGCAAAGACGGGUAGCUGGUCUGAGAGGAUGAUCAGCCACACUGGAACUGAGACACGGUCCAGACUCCUACGGGAGGCAGCAGUGGGGAAUCUUGCGCAAUGGGCGAAAGCCUGACGCAGCGACGCCGCGUGAGCGAUGAAGG